GUGCACAGCUUCUCUUAGGUGGACAGGAGCCCAGCCAAAGGGCUCCAAACCAUGUGAGAGGUGCAAUUGGCUACCAGAGACAGAAUCAAAAGAAACAAUGCCUUGACAGACUGGAAUGUGGAGCUAAGAAAGGAGUGGGGUAUGCAUGACACUCGAAGUCAGGAAUCGUCCUCUCUGACUCUUCAACCUUACUCACCAAGGUGGAUCUUGCUGAGGACUCUGCCUGCUUUUACAGUCAGGCCAGAAGGUCCACUCAAUAUUUAUGUUUCUGAAGAUCCAAAUUCUGGUCCUCACUUCUGAGUGGCAAGUGUUUUAACUACUGAGUUAUCUCCUUAGCGCUUUCUCUCAAUCUCCCCCCCCCCCCAAGUGUCUUGUGUACCAUACUCAGCUUCUGACUCUCUGGCUUUAUCUGCUUUGAACUACAGACUCAACUAUAAUGAACUAUAUUGUUGUCUUAUCCCCCUCAAAUCCAAUAACCCCAGGUUUGUAUAAGGCUACACUGGCCUGCUCCCAGGUUCCUUUUCUACGUCCAUGAAGCUUGUGAAUGGACCACUGAGCUCUGUCACAUCCCACUCAUAGGUUAAGUCAGGUCAGGCCGCUGGGGCUGAGUCCUAGCUCAGGACUUUAUUAAUGCGGUGUGAUCAGUAUGACCUGAGCCUUUCUGAUCUUAUUCCUCAUCUACUGAAUGGAUCUCAGAUGCCGAUCUCAUUUGGUUGGGAGAAAAGGAAGUGGCUUCCCGGCAAUGGUGGAACCCGGAAGCCGGCAGACUUUGCCAUUUCCAGCUGUGUGGUGCUGUAGAAGCACGAGGGGGUCUUGAGUCACAUUCGCAUUGGUUUUUAUAUUUCCUCUGCCUAGACUGGAACAUGCUGUGGCCUGCUGUAACCUCAGAAACAUCUAGAAGUAGCAGAGGCAACCAAGGGGCCCCAGAAGCUGAAAGCAAGCAAGAGGCUUUGUUUGAGGCUAGUUGGACCCUGAAGUGGAACAUCGACUUUCCUGUAGCAAACGCCCCCAGAACCCUCUGAAAGUCAGUUUCACUUUUAACAAGACCCCAGCACAGCUGUGGGAGACAGAGGUAGCCCCCACAUAGACAGGUCUCUCUGAAUGGUGAAUCCUUGGGUGGCUGGGCUUGUUCAAAAGUCUCUUCUCCCUGUCGGCUGCCCUUCUGAUGGGCUUUUCCAGCUCUGUUCCUCAUGGGAAGGUUGAUGCUGACUUGGGCACGAUGUCAGGCUCUGUCCAUGGCUCAGAUCAGAGUCCUUGCCUCUCCAAUGUUGGAUUCAGCAACUCUGCACAAUCCAUUCCUUGGAUUGUACCUAGAACUGUCACGCCUUGAUUUGUCCCUGAGCAUUUUGGGUCUUGGGUUUUGAGUUUCUGCCAUGUUUACAGCAUCAAAGCCCAAACCCUCUGCUUUUGCUCUGUAAACACUGGACUGUGUGUUCAAAGUAAAGGUGUUCACUUAGG
rnacentral:lncRNA from 1 species